AAAAUACUGCCCAUCUGAUGCAGCUACACCAGCAACAGCAGCGACAGCAACAAGCAGAACUGCAGCAGCAACAAUUUCAGCAGCAGCAAACACGGCCUGCUGCUAGUCAGGAACUCCUUGAUCAGCAGCAACAGAAGCAACAUCAGCCUAUUCGUAGCCAAAUUUUACCUCAAACCCAGUUAUCAAACCAACUUUUGCGACAGCAACAAGCAGAACUGCAGCAGCAACAAUUUCAGCAGCAGCAAACACGACCUGCUGCUAGUCAGGAACUCAUUGAUCAGCAGCAACAGAAGCAACAUCAGCCUAUUCGUAGCCAAAUUUUACCUCAAACCCAGCUAUCAAACCAACUUUUGCAGCCACCUUCAUCUAAUGUUCAACAACAAGGGUUACCUAAACCAAGCACUCAACAUCAGCAAGG
rnacentral:lncRNA from 1 species